AGCUAGUUGGUGAGAUAAUAGCUCACCAAGGCGAUGAUACGUAGCAGACCUGAGAGGGUAAUCUGCCACAAUGGGACUGAGACACGGCCCAUACUCCUACGGGAGGCAGCAGUAGGGAAUCUUCCACAAUGGACGAAAGUCUGAUGGAGCAACGCCGCGUGAGUGAAGAAGGGUUUCGGCUCGUAAAACUCUGUUGUUAGAGAAGAACGGCUGUGAGAGUAACUGCUCACAGUGUGACGGUAUCUAACCAGAAAGUCACGGCUAACUACGUGCCAGCAGCCGCGGUAAUACGUAGGUGGCAAACGUUGUCCGGAUUUAUUGGGCGUAAAGGGAGCGCAGGCGGUUUAUUAAGUCUGAUGUGAAAGCCUUCGGCUUAACCGGAGAAGUGCAUCGGAAACUGAUAAACUUGAGUGCAGAAAAGGAUAGUGGAACUUCAUGUGUAGCGGUGAAAUGCGUAGAUAUAUGAAGGAACACCAGUGGCGAAGGCGGCUAUCUGGUCUGUAACUGACGCUGAGGCUCGAAAGCAUGGGUAGUAAACAGGAUUAGAUACCCUGGUAGUCCAUGCCGUAAACGAUGAAUGCUAGGUGUUGGGAGGUUUCCGCCCCUCAGUGCCGCAGCUAACGCAUUAAGCAUUCCGCCUGGGGAGUACGACCGCAAGGUUGAAACUCAAAGGAAUUGACGGGGACCCGCACAAGCGGUGGAGCAUGUGGUUUAAUUCGAUGCUACGCGAAGAACCUUACCAGGACUUGACAUCUUCUGCCAAUCUAAGAGAUUAGAC
rnacentral:rRNA from 1 species